rnacentral:piRNA from 2 species
UCCAAAGACUACAGGCAGGUCUCCAUUGCC